UACGGGGGGGGCAAGCGUUGUUCGGAAUUACUGGGCGUAAAGGGCUCGUAGGCGGCCAACUAAGUCAGACGUGAAAUCCCUCGGCUUAACCGGGGAACUGCGUCUGAUACUGGAUGGCUUGAGUUUGGGAGAGGGAUGCGGAAUUCCAGGUGUAGUGGUGAAAUGCGUAGAUAUCGGGAGGAACACCAGUGGCGAAGGCGACUACCUGGCCUGUUCUUGACGCUGAGGCGCGAAAGCUAGGGGAGCAAACGGG
rnacentral:rRNA from 1 species